rnacentral:rRNA from 1 species
AUUGAACGCUGGCGGCAUGCUUUACACAUGCAAGUCGAACGGUAACAGGCCGCAAGGUGCUGACGAGUGGCGAACGGGUGAGUAAUGCAUCGGAACGUGCCCAGUCGUGGGGGAUAACUAUCCGAAAGGAUAGCUAAUACCGCAUACGAUCUGCGGAUGAAAGCGGGGGACCUUCGGGCCUCGCGCGAUUGGAGCGGCCGAUGUCAGAUUAGGUAGUUGGUGGGGUACAGGCUCACAAAGCCAACGAUCUGUAGCUGGUCUGAGAGGACGACCAGCCACACUGGGACUGAUACACGGCCCAGACUCCUACGGGAGGCAGCAGUUGGGAAUUUUGGACAAUGGGCGCAAGCCUGAUCCAGCAAUGCCGCGUGCAGGAAGAAGGCCUUCGGGUUGUAAACUGCUUUUGUACGGAACGAAACGGCUCUGGUUAAUACCUGGGGCUAAUGACGGUACCGUAAGAAUAAGCACCGGCUAACUACGUGCCAGCAGCCGCCGUAA